ACGCAGAACGACCCGCGAACGAGUUAAGCAAGACCACCGCGGGCGCCCGGCCUCCGGGCUGGUCGCACGCAGCGCCCCGGGGGGGAGGGACGUGGGAAGCCGCGGCACCCCUCCCGCGGGAGCAAAAAAUGAACCCCGGCGCGAAUUGCGCCAAGGAAACUAAAAAGGAAGAAAGAUGUGCGCUCCCCCCGCACCGAAAAUGGAAGAGCGAGGCGGGGGCGCCGUCGUUCGUGCAAACACACAGAACGACUCUCGGCAACGGAUAUCUCGGCUCUCGCAUYGAUGAAGAACGUAGCGAAAUGCGAUACUUGGUGUGAAUUGCAGAAUCCCGUGAACCAUCGAGUCUUUGAACGCAAGUUGCGCCCGAAGCGGUCAAACGCCUAGGGCACGUCUGCCUGGGUGUCACGCAACGUCGCAUGCARUCCCCCCCACCUCCCCACGGGGUGGGCGCGGGAAUGCGGAUGAUGGCCUCCCGUGCGCUCCCGCUCGCGGUUGGCCCAAAAUGUAGCCCCCUGGCGAAGGCAGCCACGGCACGCGGUGGUCGGCAGCACAAGCUCCUCAAAAACCGCCGUUGGCAAAGCCCCGUCAGCGAGGGCGAGAGACCCCGACGCUCAGCGAGCGUCAUCCGAGAGCGA
rnacentral:rRNA from 1 species